GAAUCCGCUAUAUUCGUACCGUGAGACGCAUCACGAAAUUUGGCAUGACCUCUAAGGCUCUAACCAUAAAACCACUAGAAUUACAGAUAAUCACCCUGAAUGGCAUGUUUUGAUUGUUUUCCAUUGAAUCAUAUUUAUCACUUGAUGAACAUAUUCUGGCAUUCUAUUAGUAGAGAUAAUUCUAUGCACAAACAUUCACAUAUUACAUAUGGCAGACUCAAUGACGCAACAUUUCUCUUCGUUA
rnacentral:lncRNA from 1 species